AUCCUGUAAGUUUCCAUAUAUAGAAUCAUUUUUCUUUCAAUAACCAGAUAGGUUUUGUAGAGACUAAGACUAAUCGCCGAAGGGCCCAGAGUGGCUGUGGCUGCCAAGAGGAUAUCGAUUUUCAUAUAUCGUUGGAACUUCUGGCUUUGACCUACAUGUGAAUCCUCUAGACCUCUAUUCACUCAAACAUACCACUACACCACACGCUCUUCGUUGGGGAUGAUCAAAUGCUGGUUGCAGAUGAGACGGUACACAUUCUAUUACAUCUCCAUCUGGGCUCUAGAGUUUCAUAAUAACAAAAACAAGUUCUCAUUAAAAACUAAAAAGAAACAGAGGAUUCCAUAAUAAAGAUCCGACCCAAGUAAAAAGUCUAGUUGAAGAGAGAGAAUAAGAAGAAACCCAAUAAAUUUGGAUGUGACAGUUGAAGAAGAAAAUGAAGAAGAAGAAGCCAUAACUAGAGAAUGUACGGACUGUUUUGUAAUGAAAUG